UACGUAGGGUGCAAGCGUUGUCCGGAAUUAUUGGGCGUAAAGAGCUCGUAGGCGGUUCGGCAAGUCGGAUGUGAAAUCUCCACGCUUAACGUGGAGGGGCCAUUCGAAACUGCCGUGACUCGAGUCCGGUAGGGGAGUGUGGAAUUCCCGGUGUAGCGGUGAAAUGCGCAGAUAUCAGGAGGAACACCAAUGGCGAAGGCAGCUCGCUGGGACGUGACUGACGCUGAGACGCGAAAGCGUGGGGAGCAAACAGG
rnacentral:rRNA from 1 species